rnacentral:rRNA from 1 species
GAUGAACGCUGACAGAAUGCUUAACACAUGCAAGUCUUUGGCAAAGCUGUGCUUGCACAGUCUAGCCAAGGCGGACGGGUGAGUAACGCGUAAGGAACUUGCCCUGCAGUCAGGGAUAACAGACGGAAACGACUGAUAAAACCUGAUAAAGUCAGACGGACUCAUGUCCAGUCUGAUGAAAAGAAAUGCUGCAGGAGAGCCUUGCGUCCUAUUAGCUUGUUGGUGGGGUAACGGCCCACCAAGGCAAUGAUAGGUAGCCGGCCUGAGAGGGUGGACGGCCACAAGGGGACUGAGAUACGGCCCUUACUCCUACGGGAGGCAGCAGUGGGGAAUAUUGGACAAUGGGGGCAACCCUGAUCCAGCAAUUCUGUGUGCACGAAGAAGGUUUUCGGAUUGUAAAGUGCUUUCAGCAGGGAAGAAAAAAAUGACGGUACCUGCAGAAGAAGCGACGGCUAAAUACGUGCCAGCAGCCGCGGUAAUACGUAUGUCGCAAGCGUUAUCCGGAAUUAUUGGGCAUAAAGGGCAUCUAGGCGGCCAGAUAAGUCUGGGGUGAAAACUUGCGGCUCAACCGCAAGCCUGCCCUGGAAACUAUAUGGCUAGAGUACUGGAGAGGUGGACGGAACUGCACGAGUAGAGGUGAAAUUCGUAGAUAUGUGCAGGAAUGCCGAUGAUGAAGAUAGUUCACUGGACGGUAACUGACGCUGAAGUGCGAAAGCUAGGGGAGCAAACAGG